CCUACGGGAGGCUGCAGUGGGGAAUAUUGGGCAAUGGGCGCAAGCCUGACCCAGCAAAGCCGCGUGAAGGAAGAAGGCUUUCGGGUUGUAAACUUCUUUUUACCGGGGAGCGCAGAAGACGGUACCUGGCGAAUAAGCCACGGCUAACUACGUGCCAGCAGCCGCGGUAAUACGGAGGUGGCAAGCGUUGUCCGGAUUUACUGGGUUUAAAGGGCGUGUAGCCGGGCUGACAAGUCAGAUGUGAAAUCCGGGGGCCCAACCCCCGAACUGCAUUUGAAACUGUUGGUCUUGAGUAUCGGAGAGGCAGGCGGAAUGCGUAGUGUAGCGGUGAAAUGCGUAGAUAUUAGGAGGAACACCAGUGGCGAAGGCGGCCUGCUGGACGACAACUGACGGUGAGGCGCGAAAGCGUGGGGAGCAAACAGGAUUAGAUACCCGGGUAGUC
rnacentral:rRNA from 1 species